rnacentral:lncRNA from 1 species
UAUACUUCAUUCAUUAGAAAGCUGAAAAUUUUCCAAUAUACUUGUAUACUUGGAGCAAAUCAAUGAAGAUUCUGGUAAAUAAAUUGGUUAAUUUUUCUAUUUAUGCUUCUCUAAAGCUUAUGCUUUAGUCAAGAGAUUCAUAGAGUUGGUUGGAACAUCAACUCAAUCAAAACUCUCUUUCUGUUUAAGCCAAGACUAUUGAUUUUAACUUAAGGUCUGUGAUAUAAGUUCUCUGUGGAUGCAGUUAUGUAGGAAGUUGAAAAUGUUGGCUUUCUUUUUCAUAGACUUUGAUGUAUGAAUGAUAAGUCCUAUUAUUUGAAAUGAGUUAAGGAAGAAGGGAGACCAGAGAUAAGAUAUACGAAAUUCUUUGGGUAUAACAGAUUAAAGGAAUGACUUGAGAUAACUUGUAUAUACUUUUGUCUGAGAAUUUGCAUGGCUUCUCUGCUCAUAAGCUAAUUUAUUAGAUAUAUGUGAGCUUUUCUAUUUCAUGAAUCUGUGUAUAUUCCCUCUCCCGUUUAGACUUCUCUUUGAGUUCAUGCUUUUUGAUGUUCAGUUUAAGUGCUUCAGUAACAUCAGAACAUUGGAAUAUUUGUUUAAUUGUGAUAGGUGUUAAGGUUGAAACGGGGAACUAACUCGAUUUUUCUGUUGUCUCCUUCAUUUUCAGUUCUAAAUCCUGAUAAAUUGACUGAAUUUAUGCUGCUAGAUCAAGCACCAGUUAGCCACAAUACUCAUCUAUUCAGGUUAUUUUUUUCUUUCUUUGUUAUUUUAUAAUUAUGGCGUUUACACUUUGAUAGUGACACAUAUUCCAGGUGGAUUUUGCUCUCCCGUUAAAUGUUUUCUCUAAACAGCUCUAGCUCACAUCUUACUGAUUUAUAGAGGAACAGUAGUAUGGCUCUAGCACUAUCAUUUAUCUUUAAACUGUCGAAAAGCCUGGAUCUAGAAGAAUUAGUUUCAGUAUCAUGCUUCAUAUUAUAGCACAUUCAAUUAUUAAAGAAACUGGAAUUAGAAUUGGGAAGCAUGUAGUCUUGAUCUAUCCUUGCUUGUUUGAUGGCCAUUAAAGCCUUAUAUAUGGGGUGUGUAUUUUAGAUUCUGGUUGAAACUUUCUGCCAUUUUUUUGGGGACAAUGUGUGUGAAACAAUACCUCAACCCUCUAUUUUGCUUAGGUUAAGUAAAUGCGAAACUGAGUUGCUGUGUAGGAGUUCUGGAAGAACGUGCAUUCUGGAAAUUCAUUUAUAAGCAUCUUGAAGUGAAUAUUUUGUGUAAUUGCACUUCCUUUUUUUGUUUGCUAAAUAGCUUAUGUAAAUGCAUACCGCCUGAAAAUUCACCUCUAGUAGCAGUAUUUUAUAUAUAUAGAUUAAAGCUAUCCAAAAAGAUGGGUUCUCUUAUCUCCUGAUGUUCUAUUUGACUUUAAUGAACCAAACGUGAGUGUAAUGUAAUCCCCACAAAAAUUUAAUAUUAAAAUCUGUCUAUUUUUCAAGGGGGUGGGGGAAGUUUCCGAUGCUUCAGCUCUACAUUUCUAUUUCAUAUUGAUAGACCAAACUUUCCCGGAAUCAUGAGCUGCCACUACUUUAUACUACAUUUUUACACUACCCAUAUAUGUUUUUAAGUUCCUUUUUUUUCCUAUUAUUUUUUCUUUAUAGGGUGAUAUCCUUUAGAACCUUAAGAUAUCCUGGUUGCUGAUAAACUUUUAGCGCUCUUCAAUUCCAUGAAGUUUGUAAGUCUCUUCCUUUUUCUGCAAAUUUGCCUUUCCAGCAUAUAAUUGGAGUACAUACUGACAUCAUGUUCACUGAUACAACAUUUGCAGACAUGUUUAAGUGAGGGAAUGGGCUACUAUUUUCCACCAUGCCACAUAGUUAAUAUAAGUGGUUUUCGGGUGUUACUGCCCUUUGGACCU